CAAAUGCACGAGACCGUAAGCCCUGAAAUUUAGCCUACUCCUGAAUUCUUUUAUUGCACAAAAAUACCUCCUAAAGAACGUGAAAUGAGGGACAGCGCACCACACAUGAUGGAUGCCGGGAUGAACGAUCUGGCAGCAUGUAUCCAGGUGCUUGCGUUGUGCUAUGCAACGGCAGUAUCUUCUGAGGCCUCCUUACCUUUUUACAAACCUUGAGCACUGAGCCGUUGUUUAACUUGGCAGAAAUUGGGCCCUCCCAGGAGCCACACCACAAAGAGAUUAAGGAUGUGAGUUGGAUAUGCGAAGACCCCUGUAGAUCAUCAUGCACCAGGUCCGCUGUGAUAUAACUUUCCAUAGAAGAAAUUACGACGGCAUACGUCCAGAAUGGAAGCGUCUGUCAUUGUGUCAGAGCUCUUCGCAGUCUCUCUCUGUGGUCUGCUGGCGCAGGGAUGAGUAAAUCUUUCGGGUUACUCUCAAUCCACAUAUCCCAAAGGCUUGCUCCACCCUAAACAUAAUAUUUCAUCAGAUACCAACCAUGUUUCUCACACUUGAACUUUCUGUUUGAGGGCAUCGCCGCUUCUUCCUUCGAGGGUCUACGUGUCAUCGCCGAUAACACGGCUCUCGGACACGGACAGGAUAGAGGACCGGAUGUCUUUCUCAUUGACUCUCAGCGUGCAAGUAGACCACAGCUGCCCGGUUUCCCCAAUCUAAUCUUUGCUCUGGCCCUGCUCUCGGCCCUCACAUCAGCUAAUACACUUGUGGUCAACAUCGGGAAGUGUCUGAGAUAACUGGAGGAUUAAAUUGUGCUGAGAGCCAUUAGGUAAGAUGUGUGGAAUCCACAGUCAUUACCUCAGACCCGCUCGAGCAGCGCACAUCCAAUGCCACCUUAUUUGGGCAAAUGCCUCAUGUCAUCAUUGUUGAGUUGGAAAAAAAACAGCAUUGCACAUUGAUAUGUGCUUUGUAAAUGUGAAGGGGGAUUAAGCCAUAGCAGUUUUGGGCUUCGGUUACUGUGGAGUGGCAAGAAAACAACAUGAAUCAGAGGUUUUUAUUGUAUCACCGUAUUAAUGAACGCAGACUGCACACAGGAACAUGUUAAGGACCGUGACUGAGCAUUCACGCCCAGGAGAAAAGGAUAUUGCUCAGAGGUUGCUUUUCCAAGAAGAUUUAAUGGUGUUCUCACUUACGUUUCAUUAAGGAUCA